rnacentral:rRNA from 1 species
GUGCGGAAGGGCUCCUUCGGGAGUGCUCCAGCGGCGAAAGGGAGAGUAAAACGUGGGUCACCUGCCCUCGGGACUGGAAUAGCGGCGGGAAACUGCCGGUAAUGCCGGAUAAUGUCUCCGGACCAAAGGUGUGAGUCCGCCCGAGGAUGGGCCCGCGUCCUAUUAGCUUGUUGGUGGGGUAACGGCCUACCAAGGCCAAGAUGGGUACCGGGUGUGAGAGCAUGGCCCGGCUCACUGGGACUGAGACACUGCCCAGACACCUACGGGUGGCUGCAGUCGAGAAUCUUCGGCAAUGAGCGAAAGCUUGACCGAGCGACGCCGCGUGCGGGACGAAGGCCCUCGGGUUGUAAACUGCUGUCAGUGGGGAGGAAAUGCAUAGGGGCUCACUCCUAUGUUUGACCUAUCCGCAGAGGAAGUCCGAGCUAAGUUCGUGCCAGCAGCCGCGGUAAGACGAACCGGACGAACGUUAUUCGGAAUUACUGGGCUUAAAGAGUGCGUAGGCGGCUUGGCAGGUUGGGUGUGAAAUCCCUCGGCUCAACCGAGGAACUGCGCUCAAAGCCGCCAGGCUUGAGGGAGAUAGGGGUGAGCGGAACUGAUGGUGGAGCGGUGAAAUGCGUUGAUAUCAUCAGGA